UUACCGGCGGUCUCUAAUUCGCUUGGUGCAGGUCGGGAACUGAUUGGCUGCUGCUCCUUAAUAGUGGAUUGGAUUGGAUUUAGGCCAGAUGGCGGGCCGUGACUGGAGGAGGCACGAAUUGGAUCCCGCCUUGCAUCAACUGAAUCGGAGACCGCGGUGAGG
rnacentral:pre_miRNA from 1 species